UACAGAGGGUGCGAGCGUUGUCCGGAAUCACUGGGCGUAAAGCGCACGUAGGCGGAUUUCUAAGUCAGGGGUGAAAUCCUGGAGCUCAACUCCAGAACUGCCUUUGAUACUGGGAAUCUCGAGUCCGGGAGAGGUGAGUGGAACUGCGAGUGUAGAGGUGAAAUUCGUAGAUAUUCGCAAGAACACCAGUGGCGAAGGCGGCUCACUGGCCCGGUACUGACGCUGAGGUGCGAAAGCGUGGGGAGCAAACAGG
rnacentral:rRNA from 1 species